GGUUGUAAUGUUUAUGAGAAGACAGAUUUGAGAAGUUAUCAAGUCAAAUUUGGAGGGAAGUAACAUGAGAUAUAGAUGCUCUAUCCAUAGUGGAUGUUAAAAUUAACAACCACUGGCAGAGCAGUAGAUUGAAAGAAGGAGGAAGCAUGAGGGGGCUUCUGAGGUUCUAAGAAAAUGUUUUUGAUCUAGGUGCUGGUUAUACAGACUACUGACUUCGUGAAAAUUCAGAAAUCAAAAUAAUUCCUGAAUCUGCUGGCCACUGGAGAGCUGUGAACACUUUCUCUGCCAACAAGGAUUACCCAAUUACCAAAAGCAAACAAAGACAAACUGGCUAUUCAAGUACUGCAAACCAGAUAGGAAAGAGACAGUAUCCAUGACCUUCUGUUCAUGCGGUGGAGGAAGAAAUUGCUUCCCAGAAAGGCUUAGCCCACUCCAUUCUACUAGAUAAAGGAAAAACAAAAAGCCACUCCACUCUGACAAGCCGAUUACUGUCUAUGGAGAAGCAAAAUGCCUCCCUUAGGACUAUGGGAAUAGCCAACAAGGUACAGUAUGUUCAAACCUUUAACCAUGACUCUGCCAAGAGCAGCUAUGUAUGUGAAUACAAUCUCCUCAUCUGGGCAGUCAAAUAUGCAUAACUGAAAGUACAAACCUCCAUAAGGUCCUGUCUAGUUAUAGUUUCAA